CCGAAUCAAUUAUUUCAUUCACUUCUCUUUGCUCAAGAAAAUAUCCAUCUGUCACUAAAAAUUUCUAGCUUCUGAGGGAGAGUGGGAAAGCCUGCCUUCUAAAUUAUCUCAUUAGCAUUAUUGCAUCUGAUUUGAAUGUAUAGUUGUAAAGCUUUGGUAGUGCAGAUCACAGAUAGCAAGACAAAGGUACAAUCAAAUUUGGCCCAUUGGACUUGGGUUCAGGUACCCCUGACUGUUGGAUUAAUUAUGUGACCUUGAAUUAAGUCAAGUUAACUUAAGUCUUGCUACUAAAACUAUAUAAAUUUCAGAGAAGAUGCUGAUUUGCAAUUAGUAGAGUUUCAUCAUCUAGAAAUUAUUUACAUCAGUAGAAUCACAGGUUUUGUGCCCCUCUCCUUAUGUUUAUAUUUCUUAAUUAGUCCUCUAAAAGAGGUAAUUUGCUCAUUUGAUUCUUGGUGACUAAAUCUAUCCUUAAAAAUAGAAUGGACUUUUCAUAAUUAAUUCUGGGACAGCAGCUGGAUUGAAGAUCCUUACUUUUGACUCUGAAGAACUCAUCACCUAUAUUAGAAGCACUGUUUUGUCAAUAUAUUUGCUAUUCUUUGACAACCAAGCUGCAAAGCUAAAGGUUUACCUGCUAACAGGAGAUAAUGUUAGCUAAAAGAGAAACAUGAUACUUUUAUAAUUCUGUUUGAAUUUGUAAAUUCCAUUCCCCAGCCACCCCUAACACUUUUAUUAUCUAGGCUCUUGGGGAAUUGCUAGAUAGCCGUGUAAUGUAAUGUUAGAAGAAGGGAAAUGAUUUUAAGAGAACUUGACUCAGACUCCAUAGCUGCCUUAAAUGUUUUUCCUUCUUCAUUCUGCAAAAAAUAUAAAAAUAAAAAAAUGAAGGCUUAUUUUGCUCACCAAAACACUUUGUUUGGUGUAAUGGUUCUAGGAAUCAAUGACCUUUAAAGCAUACUGGAACCACUCAUUGUCAUUACAAUGUACAUACAAAAUAAACUACCUCACUCGCCUUACUCAGAUAAAAAGCAUAGUGGAUUAUGAUAGCUUUUGUUAUGAAGUAUCCCUGAGUCUUCUUAUUUAAUGUCAACCUUGUUUUGCUUUUGAUAUUCCUAGUUUAAUGAUGCACAAGAAAUGAGCAAAUGCUCUGAAUACCAAAAUAAAAUAUUCUGUGAAUGUCGUGCUCUAAAAGAGUCGGUGCCGAAAACAUAUUCUCUCUGUCAUUAAUCAUUUGUUUCUAGCCAUGUUCAGACAACUGGGAGUGAAUCCCAGGAGUUCAAAUGAGGGAUUAAGAAAAAAAAUUAUCUUUUCUUCCAGGCAUUUUUCAACUUUUUUUCACAAUGUCUUACUGGGUUGGAAAAUAACAUCAUGCCACUCAUUAAAGCCAAUCAUUUGUAUAUUUCUGACCCACACGAAAGG
rnacentral:lncRNA from 1 species